UACGUAGGGUGCAAGCGUUGUCCAGAAUCAUUGGGCGUAAAGCGCGCGUAGGUGGCUUUGUAAGUCCGUUGUGAAAGUCAGAGGCUCAACCUUUGAAUGCCGAUGGAUACUGCAGAGCUAGAGUACGGAAGAGGCGAGUGGAAUUCCUGGUGUAGCGGUGGAAUGCGCAGAUAUCAGGAGGAACACCAAUAGCGAAGGCAGCUCGCUGGGACGUUACUGACACUAAGGCGCGAAAGCGUGGGGAGCGAACAGG
rnacentral:rRNA from 1 species